rnacentral:lncRNA from 1 species
CAGCCUGCCUGGAGCAGCCUUAUCCCUGGAGAAAGAAUCCUUCACCCAGUGACCAGAGGAGGCUUUGGCUCUGACCCCGUGUGAGUGAGAGGAGAGGAGGAUUUCAGCCCCAGCUUCCCCUCGUGUGAUGCCAGCUGUGAGUGUUUCUUUGGCAGUGUC